UCUUGUUUGUCGUGUAGACGCGUAUUCUUGGUUUUGCCGAGACCCAAUAACCAGAUCCACGACUUCCAUUGGAACCGACAAUUCUUGAUAAACUACUAUUUGCUGCUUCAACUUCAAACCGAAUUUCACCAUUUCAGUCUUCCGUGCUGCGUUGGAAAAAGUAGUUUACUAUAAGUCCAAGAUCAUCAUCCGCAUUUUGUAUGAUUGAUACAACCUGCAAAUACUAACCUUCGAAUGAUUUCUGCAUUCUUUCAAUUCUGGGACCAAGUGAAUUUCUUCAAUGAAAAUAUGCACGACAUGUAUUGAAAGAAACACAUAAAAGGCUCAGCUGAUACCAGGAGGAAAUCCAAGAAAUGUAACUGCGGUUCCACUGUUCAUUUCAUAAAGAUAUACUACAAGCAGUCAAAUAAAAUGAUUGGUGCUAUGCCCGCUGUGGCAGUUCGCCACGAAAGAAGAAAAGGGCAGGAAAAACGCUCGAAACGUCCAAGCCAACUCUACAUUGGGGGUCACUGGCUACCUCCAAACAGUCCAAGUCCAACUCCCAGUCCAGGUAUCAACGAAGAUGGUAACGAGAGGUUACCGGAACUA
rnacentral:misc_RNA from 1 species